rnacentral:rRNA from 1 species
UACGUAGGGGGCAAGCGUUGUCCGGAUUUAUUGGGCGUAAAGAGUGUGUAGGCGGCUUUACAGGUCCGUUGUGAAAACUCGAGGCUCAACCUCGAGACGCCGGUGGAAACCGUAAAGCUAGAGUCCGGAAGAGGAGAGUGGAAUUCCUGGUGUAGCGGUGAAAUGCGCAGAUAUCAGGAGGAACACCCGUGGCGAAAGCGGCUCUCUGGGACGGUACUGACGCUGAGACGCGAAAGCGUGGGGAGCAAACAGG